rnacentral:sRNA from 1 species
CUGCAGAGAUCGUGGAUGGCGGCGUCCCCCAAGCACAGCUAGCGGGCUCUGACUCAGAGCUGGACAGCGAUGAUGAGUUUGUCCCCUACGACAUGUCGGGGGACAGAGAGCUGCAGAGCAGCAAGGCUCCUGCCUACGUCCGGGACUGCAUGGAAGCCCUGACCACAUCUGAGGACGUAGAGCGCUGGGAGGCGGCCCUGCGGGCCCUUGAGGGCCUGGUCUACAGGAGCCCCACGGCCACUCGGGAGGUGAGCGUGGAGCUGGCCAAGGUGCUUCUGCAUCUGGAGGAGAAGACCUGUGUGGUGGGAUUUGCGGGGCUGCGCCAGAGAGCCCUGGUGGCUGUCACGGUCACAGACCCGGCCCGGGUGGCCGACUAUCUGACCUCACAGUUCUAUACCCUCAACUACAGCCUCCGGCAGCGCAUGGACAUCCUGGACGUGCUGACUCUGGCUGCCCAGGAGCUGUCUAGGCCUGGGUGCCUCGGGAGGACUCCCCAAACUGGCUCCCCAAGUUCUAAUACCCAGUGCCUGCCGGAGGCAGCCGUCUCCCAGCCUGGCAGUGCCGUGGCAUCCGACUGGCGGGUGGUGGUGGAGGAGCGGAUCAGAAGCAAGACUCGGCGGCUCUCCAAGGGUGGCCCGAGGCAGGGCCCGGCAGGCAGCCCCAGCAGAUUCAGCUCCGUGGCCGGCCACUUCUUCUUCCCCCUCCUUCAGCGCUUUGACAGGAAGCGUCCCACAAGGUUCCUCUGCGGUUGAGCUUUGCCAUGAGGCACCAGGCAUCUGCUCUGGGCUUGCGGCAUGGCCGGCAGUGCUGCCCGCAUGUGCCCGACGCCAUCACCCGCUGGGCCCUGCUCGCCUCCUCCUGCCUCAGCCGGUGCUGCGCUGGCCCCACAUUCAGGGC